CGGUUUCUUAAGUCUGAUGUGAAAGCCCCCGGCUCAACCGGGGAGGGUCAUUGGAAACUGGGAAACUUGAGUGCAGAAGAGGAGAGUGGAAUUCCACGUGUAGCGGUGAAAUGCUAAGAGAUGUGGAGGAACACCAGUGGCGAAGGCGACUCUCUGGUCUGUAACUGACGCUGAGGAGCGAAAGCGUGGGGAGCGAACAGGAUUAGAUACCCUGGUAGUCCACGCCGUAAACGAUGAGUGCUAAGUGUUAGGGGGUUUCCGCCCCUUAGUGCUGCAGCUAACGCAUUAAGCACUCCGCCUGGGGAGUACGGUCGCAAGACUGAAACUCAAAGGAAUUGACGGGGGCCCGCACAAGCGGUGGAGCAUGUGGUUUAAUUCGAAGCAACGCGAAGAACCUUACCAGGUCUUGACAUCCUCUGACAACCCUAGAGAUAGGGCUUUCCCUUCGGGGACAGAGUGACAGGUGGUGCAUGGUUGUCGUCAGCUCGUGUCGUGAGAUGUUGGGUUAAGUCCCGCAACGAGCGCAACCCUUGAUCUUAGUUGCCAGCAUUCAGUUGGGCACUCUAAGGUGACUGCCGGUGACAAACCGGAGGAAGGUGGGGAUGACGUCAAAUCAUCAUGCCCCUUAUGACCUGGGCUACACACGUGCUACAAUGGACAGAACAAAGGGCUGCAAGACCGCAAGGUUUAGCCAAUCCCAUAAAUCUGUUCUCAGUUCGGAUCGCAGUCUGCAACUCGACUGCGUGAAGCUGGAAUCGCUAGUAAUCGC
rnacentral:rRNA from 1 species